GGAAAGUUCAGAGCGGCGCAGUCAGUUUAAACAGCAAGCCGGGCAAAAAAUACCAUGGGAUUGAUGUGUUCUCCAUUUGAGGAACGUAAUCCGCACCCCCGCACCCCCUCAAGCUCCGCCCCUGGCUGAUGUUAUUCAAUGCUGAUCUGACACAGAGAGUUCACCAAUAGUCUACUUUUCAUAGAAUAAAAAACUUCUGUCUCGGACAUCCCUCCAAA